GACGAACGCUGGCGGCGUGCCUAAUACAUGCAAGUCGAGCGGACCUCUUCGGAGGUCAGCGGCGGACGGGUGAGUAACACGUGGGCAACCUGCCUGUAAGACUGGGAUAACACCGGGAAACCGGUGCUAAUACCGGAUAAUCCUUUUCCUCACAUGAGGGGAAGCUGAAAGACGGCAGCUCGCUGUCACUUACAGAUGGGCCCGCGGCGCAUUCGCUAGUUGGUGGGGUAACGGCCCCCCAAGGCGACGAUGCGUAGCCGACCGGUGAGGGUGAUCGGCCACACUGGGACUGAGACACGGCCCAGACUCCUACGGGAGGCAGCAGUAGGGAAUCUUCCGCAAUGGACGAAAGUCUGACGGAGCAACGCCGCGUGAGCGAAGAAGGCCUUCGGGUCGUAAAGCUCUGUUGUCAGGGAAGAACACGUACCGGAGUAACUGCCGGUACCUUGACGGUACCUGACCAGAAAGCCACGGCUAACUACGUGCCAGCAGCCGCCGUAAUAC
rnacentral:rRNA from 1 species